rnacentral:rRNA from 1 species
GAUGAACGCUGGCGGCGUGCCUAAUACAUGCAAGUCGAGCGAACAGAUGAGGAGCUUGCUCCUCUGACGUUAGCGGCGGACGGGUGAGUAACACGUGGAUAACCUACCUAUAAGACUGGGAUAACUUCGGGAAACCGGAGCUAAUACCGGAUAAUAUAUUGAACCGCAUGGUUCAAUAGUGAAAGACGGCUUUGCUGUCACUUAUAGAUGGAUCCGCGCCGCAUUAGCUAGUUGGUAAGGUAACGGCUUACCAAGGCAACGAUGCGUAGCCGACCUGAGAGGGUGAUCGGCCACACUGGAACGGGGACACGGUCCAGACGCCUACGGGAGGCAGCAGUAGGGAAUCUUCCGCAAUGGGCGAAAGCCUGACGGAGCAACGCCGCGUGAGUGAUGAAGGUCUUCGGAGCGUAAAGCUCUGUUAUUAGGUAAGAACAAAUGUGUAAGUAACUAUGCACGUCUUGACGGUACCUAAUCAGAAAGCCACGGCUAACUACGUG